AUCAAGUGUUCCCGUACACCAUGUGGAGCUGUUCCCUGCAUCUCAGGGUGGUUGAAAGCGCACCCCCAGGCUGCCGGUGCCCUCGGGGCAGAGGCCUCCUCGUGUGGCUGCUCCUCGCCCUGAGCCAGGAGCGCCAGGCACGUGCCACCCGGUCCCUGUGCAGGUCAGCCCCUGCUUGCUGCCCAAAGGCGUUUUUGUUGUGCCCGAGGGCUUCAGCCCUUCUAAAUGCUUAACCACACGUGCCUUCUGCCCUCGGUAACGCUGGCUGCGUUUUUACUUCAUGUACAGUAAGUCCCUGCCACUCUUACAGCAUUCCCAGGCUCGGUUUUAAGCUGGCACCGCACGUUCAGGUAUUUGGAUAAUGGUCUUUUUAAUCGCUGCUUUUUGCACAGCUGUAAUCAAAGACAGAUUUUGCCCUUUAUAGCUUGUUAUUUAGGGAGCUGGAGCCCAGCCUGUGCUGUUGGUGCUAGCAGCCUACAAAUGCCAUUGUCCUGGUAAGCCGAGCACAGCCGGCAGCGCUGAAAGGCAGCUCUGGAAUUUCACUCGGCUAUUUUUAGUUGGUGGUGAAAAAUUGCACUUCCAACACUUUUGAGUCUUUGUCAGUGCAUAAAUAAAUCAAAGGGCAAACCCUGGCCUCCCGCUAACGAGCGGGGCGCUGGGGUGACCUUACGCAGCAGAGGCUGAGUGGGCGGAAGGCUGGUGGGGUGGCGGGGAAGAGCCCUCUGCUUUCUGGGGGGGAAACCUCGGCUCUGCCCGGCCGGCUGCUGCCUUGCUUGGAAGGUGAAGGGCGGCAGCACCGCCCGUCCUGCUCCACGUGGGCUGUCUGUGCCUGUCGCUGUGCUGAGCUCACUCCUGGCUCCUGGCUCCUCUUCCUGUGCCCCUUCCCAGGCUGGUUCCCUUCGCCUCCUCUCCGCCCCGCAGCGAGGUUUCCCUCUGCCUCCCGCCUUGGCUCUGCCGUAGCCGCCUGGCUGCCGGGUGCCAUGCCUGCAGGUCACCGCCCCAGCCGUGGUGGCUCUCUGAGAGCCAGGACCUGGAGAGCAGAGAGCAGAGCUCCUCAAGGAUGCUGGCAGGAGGUUUCUCUAAGAAGCUGCUUCACCUGUUGGACCACCAAAUUUCCGCACUGGCACAGAAAAAAAACAUCCUCUGGCAACAGGAUCCUUGCAGUCGAGUUUCCUUGUCCUGGUGAUCCCUGCCACGUGCCCGGAGAGCCGCAGGGGCUGCCUUGCUGCUCUCUUUCCCCUGGACUCCCGGUAGCCUCCAGUCGCCGAGCGCUGCUCUGACACCGCCCGGGCUCCAGCAGCCCCGUGGAGGUAAGCCGGCACCGAGCACCGCAGCUCCUGGUGCUGCGGACACCUGCAGGGACCCUUGGGUGCACGGGGACUGUGCAGCUGCCGUAGGCUCGCAGCCAGCUCUGGGCCACCCUGACACGAACACCAGGGAGCAGACGGGCACUUGGGCAGCCAGGGCUGGGUGUGCUGCUGGUGCCAGCCCCUGUCCUCCUCCUCCUCCUGGACUGGCAGCUGCUGGGGCUGGUGAGAUCCAGACACUGGAAGGAUGUGAAAGCAGAUGCGUGGGCUGGGGAUACUGCUGGGGGAUGCCACAGGAGGGGAGAUGACCCAUCCCGCAAAGCCUUGGCGUCUGAACGGGGCUGGUGGUUUCCAUCGCACUGCGCAGGCACUGGGAAAAUCCCCAGAUCUUGGAGCUCAGCUGAGCCCCGUGCCCUGAAGGGCGCAGCCCCCAGGAAGGCAGAGGAGCUUCACACAGGCUCCCAAAAUCCCUCUGCAUCUCUAGCUGGCUGCUGCGGGGCUGCUUUCAGCCCGGGUUGCCGUAAUUCAGUAGAAAAGCUCCUGGAUGCCCCGUACCUGUGUGGUGCCUGCAUGUCCAGGCUGUGCUUGUGCUCUGGGACAGCGGCGCUGCUCUGCUCCGUGCAGCUCACCAGGGGGUGUGGAAACAUCUCGUCUGGCAAAAGGGAUCACACCUAGGUGCGUGCAAGGGCAUUCCCCUGCAUGUGGCAGCGGGGGCUGCGAGGGAUGCUCCUUGCCCUCUGAAACAGCCUUUUACGAAUUUAAAAGCUGCCAUCCUCUCUCCCUUCCAUCCUUGCUUCUCUAGCCUAAACAAACACAGGCCUUGCUCAGUCCGCCCCAGGGAUCGGGGUGCACCAGCUCACCUCGAAGCCGGUCUCUGCCUUGGUAUCUGCUCACCUGCUGGGGUGCAGGAUCCGGCCAGGUGGAGCGGUGCUCAGGAGAGGCACGCUCAGUACGGCCUGGGCGCUUCUGGGCA
rnacentral:lncRNA from 1 species